ACAAAAGAGGCAGAAAGCUUAAAUUUCUGUCGAACUCGCGGUAAAGUCUUGGGAGGAUCAGAUCUUAGGCGCGCUUUGUCGCAGCCCCUUAAUUGGUUAAAGGUCACGCGAAAAUUGCAGAACAAGGUCUUCGGACCUUGUUUUUUUUU
rnacentral:sRNA from 1 species